rnacentral:lncRNA from 1 species
AUGAAUUUCCCUCUCUCCCUCCCUUCCUCUUCCUCUCAAACUUCCCUCAGGUAUAACCCACCAUGCUUUCCUGGCAUACUUUUGUUUUGUAACAGUGACCACUGUGGCCUCAGAUCUGAGGAUGAAAGUUUAUGGCUGCUCUUGACAUUGAUUUUCACCAAACUGCACUUGUCUGCAAGUUGGAUUGCAGAUGAAAUGAAAGGCGGUGUUACUCUCACAUGGGGGACAUAGAGGAUGUCACAUAUUACAGAGAACACUACAAUGUCAACCCUUGCAGAAGGAAUUUGAAAUGCAAGUGCAGCAAUCUCAGUGACCAAGAUUACCCAAGGAGCAGUUCGCCACACUAAUCCGUGUCUGGAAGGUAAUGACCACCACUUUGAGCACCUCUUAUAGUUCUAGAGGCCAAAGGUACCUUGUAUUAUUCUCAUGCUGUCUCAAUAAAUUUAGUAUUAAAAUAUUUAUGCAAGUUUUUCUUUUUCUGAAGUGUGCAUACAUUUUGGUCCCCCCUUCUUCUCUCCCUCCCUCCCUCUUUCUCCCCCUUUUCCUUUCCAAUUUGGGUGCUUUUUUCCCUUGACAAGUUGCUUUGGCUAGAUCUUCC